AUUGGAAGAGAUAUAAUUCAUAUUCAAAGGGAAGAAAGAACUAUAUUGGACAUUCUUAAACAAAAACUCACAGAUUUUAUUCAACCAGAGAUCCAGUUCUUUUACCCUUCCACUGACCCCACUAGGAAACAAACAAACAAGAAGUCAUUGACAAUAAGGCUGUGGUAUAAACUGAUGAAGAGUAGGAGAUUCAGGGAGCUGAGCAAUCCUGAGAGCACAUGUGAACAAUUAAUCUUGUUGUUUGCUGCAAACAAGCUGAACCCCUCCAGCUGCAUGGAUGGGAAGCUCAGACCUACACCCCGCACUCUGCUGUGCCAGCACCUGACCAGGACAAGAACGCAGUGUAUCCACUGAGCGUGAGCUCUGCUCUUUUAGAAGAUGGGCCUGGUGCUAGACUUCCCAAGUCACCUCCAGGGCUGUAAUUGGAGGUAAACAAAAUUGUCAAUCUGCAUGGAUGACAUAUAGUCUUCAUGGCAUUCCAACUUAUCACCUUGAUGUUCUGGCUCCUGGGCCUUCCAGAUGUUCCCAGUAGUAUUAUCUGCAUGACCAGCCUGUGACUGCCCCAAAGCCUCAGCCCAGUACAACCACCAUUCCACUGCCUGAAGGCACUGGUCCUGUUUGUGAGGAAUCCUCUCUUGAACAAUGAGUAUGCACGACAGUUGCCAAACAGUAAUGAACUACUUGAUUACAUAAAUGAGAAAAUGGGUGGUAGUGUAUGAUGGACCUAGUGGAUUGCCAGAUCAUUAUUAAAACUGGGUUUAGAAGUCAUGCCAUUUCAGUCUCAUCUCUUGGCAGACUGCCUAUUCUGAGGACCCUUGUAGGGGAUCUCACUGGGGGCUUCUGCAGUGUGGAGAGCUGUCAAUCCACGUAAGGAGGUUUACAGGCAGUAAUAUUUCAUUAAUAGGAAGUUUGGCUCUUCUGGAUAUUAUGGAAGAGCGAUGAGGCUUUGCCAGUGUUUCUUAGUUGCCAUGUAUUUAUAUGAUGUGUUUAAUAUAUUUUAUAUAAUAUAUAAAAUAAAUAUAAAGCUAUUGAGCAACAUAACUCAGAGGGAAAUAAACACAUGCUAAGAUACGUUUGGCACUUUUAUCAUGAUGUACAUAUUCUGACGUAGCACACAUCAGGUGCAGAAAUUUCUUAACAAUAUCUGUCUUCUUUGGUUUUGUCUGUGAAUGCAGUUAUAUUUCCAAAUAAGUACUUGCUGAUGUUUUAAUUUCUUCAGCACUGAUGACAUAAAAGAUCUUUGCACUGGGUACAUGGCUUGCCUAGGAAAAUUCCACUUGAACUCCGGAGCAAUCUGAAGAAUUUUGAAAGAAAGUUUGAGAGGGGAGAAUUUUACUUCACACUCUCUUGACUGAAGUCUGCUGCCUUUGAAGACAGACAUAAAGCUAACAUUGAUUUAAAUGGAAACAUAAAUAAAACAAUCCUGAUUGCUUCUGGAAGACCUGCCCUGAAAAUUCUGAGCUCAUAAAACUUCAGCUUUUAAUUCCACUGUUACUGUGUGUACUACAGUUUAAAAAGAAAGAGUUGCCUACUUAGGUUUUCAUUAAACUGAUUGAUUUCAUAUCAGUUAAACUCAUUUAUUGUAUUUUCCCAUGAGCAACACUGUUUUGCUUAAAUUUCUGUGAAGUCUGCAAAAAAACCUAAUAGUUUAAGGAAACUGAAUGUAGGGAAAAUAAGGAAAACACUGCAGUAGUGUUGACACAAAUUGUUUCCACAUUUUGGGAAACGUGUUUCAUAAUUUGUGCUUAUUUGCAUUUUGAGAAGUGAUACAUAAGAUGAAGCAGUAUUACUUUUGAAAUAAAAUAAUGAAUGAAAUAUUAAAAUUACUUAAAAAAAAAAACCUACUUAAUAUUUUUUUUUUUACCCAGUGAAAUUCUUUGCUCCG
ensembl:lncRNA